CGUGCCAAGUGGCUGCGUCUCACGUGUGGCGCCAGCCGGAAGCCGUGGCCCAGGCCGGGCUGCGGCCCCUUCUGACCAUUGCGCGCCCGGUGCGCCUGGUUCUCUGCCUGAGCCCCAGUUACGCAGCCAUAUCCAGCGCCUGGGGACUGCGGCUCCCCUCAAACGUGUGCCGUGCUCACCUGACGCCAGCGUUGACAGGUGUCGGAGGUGUGGCACGUUUUGACCCGUUAGAAGCACAACCUGGCUGUUUAGGGGACUGCUUAAGAAGAGUCAAGUUGUACCACCUGGUUUUCUGCACGUUUAGAUGCUUUUACCCAAUCGGUGUGAUUGGAUUUUUAGCACUAGUCUUGCAGAAUUUAUGCAAGGGCUUCCGCGUCAGCUGUAGUUCAAAAAGAAGAGUGAAUCUAUUUUUGAGUUCAACUACAGCUUAGUUGUUUGUACAUUUUUUUUGCCUUUGCAGCGAUUAACAAUAGAGGAAUGUUCCCACAGAACUACAAUAUUAGAACCAUCUGAGUCAGAGUUACAGUCAGAAUAUGGUGCUGCUGUUAGUGUUCAUGAUGUGGAAGGAAAAAAUGUAUCUUUGUAUGAAUCUCUCUGCAGAUUACAGUGCCUGUUAUAUUUUUCCAUCUCUAAUUCAACUGCUAUUGAUUGAAGGCUACUGGCAAUGGCCAUACAGUCAUCUGCGAUUAACUUGACUGCACCAGAGCAGUAAUAACCCUGUGGAGCUUUUAGACACCUGGAAUAAAGGUAUGCAGUGUGGCUGUGGCUAUUCAGCACUACGGCCCCUUGCUGACUAAGGGCAUUGGUGUUGUGUUGUUGAUUGAAUGCUACCUUACUCUACUCACCCCAGUAGGUAAUGGAUACCAAUACACUUCAGGCUUUAUAUUUCUUCUGUCACAUAUAAUUGUGUUGUAUCAUACAAAGGAGGGAUAUUUUGCAGCACUUGUUUAACACACAGUUAUGGAGAUUGCAUUAUACAUGUUUUCAUUUCUGAUACCAGUUAUUUGGAAUGUCAAACCAGUGGCUGGUUCAAGUAGGGCUAGUUGAGGCAUCCUGCUUGAAUUGCCAUUGUUUCAAGGAUGUCAAACCACUGUAUUCCUGCUGCCAACUCCAUUACAAUUACUACCUUAGAGGCCUGAUCCAAUGCCCAUUGAAAUCUGUGGGAAGACUACCAUUGACUUAACUCGACUGUCUGUCUUGUGUAAUUUCAGUACUUCUCCAGAAUGGUCACCUUUUUAGUGUGUUUCUCCAGAAGCUGAGAAAAUAUAGCACAAUGUAAUAAAGGAUUAUCUGGUACAGCAACAUCCUCUCCAGCUCACUGAAGAAUAGAAGUUUAUUGAUAAACUUCACUACUUCUUGAAUGGGAGGACAGUAGCUAGGUGGCCGAGCCUGAGAGGGAGGAGAUUUUAAUGGCGAAAUAAAGGCAGUGAUACAGAGGAUUCUCCAAAUGAUUAAAAGAGGUUCUCUUGGACAAAACCUUCUCCUGGACACUGACUUCCCAAUCCUGCAAGGUGUUGAGACCUCUUCUCAUCCCCUUUUAGGAUUGGGCCUUGAAUGCCUCACGGUCCUGGAACUUAAAACAAGAAAAAAAUAUCAGAAAGGAGACAGAUCAGGUGACUGCACUCGGCUGACUUUCAGAGUAACACUAGCAGCUUAAACCCUAACUGAAAGUCUCUGAAAGAAUCCAGGGGAGAUAAAUUUCUCCAACCAGGAAUGAAACCAGGCAAAAUUCAAUAGAAAAUACAAGGAAGCCUCAAUUUUUUACCGCUUAAACUUUAGAAAACUUGGUUCUCACGUAGUUUAUUGGACUUGCACUGUUGCAGCCAUCAUGUACAAGUUCUCCUUUGUAACUAGUACAAAAGCCAUGUAAUCUGCAGUGAGGUCCCUAUAAGUAGAAAACCCUGAAACGUAAGAACAGCAAGUUAUGCUACUACUUUCUUCUCCCCUAUAACCUCAACUCUUCAUGUUAGGUUUGUGGCUGAGGUAAGUUAGGGUAAGCCCCUGCAGAUUUUGAGGGGGACCCAGAGAUAAAUGGCUGAUAUAUACAUAUUCUCUCAUAACCGAAGGAGCUGGGAGAUGUUUGUUACUAGCUCAAGCUCUAUUUAUUUCUGGAUUUAAAAGUUUUCAUAUUGAUUUAUUGAUCCAGGAAGACUAGAGCAUAUCCUUUGUUAUGCUGCAAAAAUGAAGAAAAUCUUUUAAAAGUACUCAGUAAAUUUUGUGAUCUAAUGAUCUAAUUUUUCUGCUCACGUCCUUUAUUCUAGUUAAACUUUUAAAUAACUGUCAACGGAAUUUUUCUGCACACUGGAAAUAAUCUGUUCAAAUUGUGGCUUUGCUAGCUAAAGAGAUUUCAGGAACUGGUGCUGUUCCCAGCUGCAGAACACAAAAGCAUUCACAGAUGCUAACUAAAUGGCCUAUGCUGAAGACAUUUUAUUGCCUAAUUGGUGUUUUUAAGAACAUUUUCCUGCUGUAUUUUUCCUUUUUGUUUUUUAUGAUUGUAAUUACAUUUGAUUUCUUUGUGUUGGUGAUUUUUAUAUAUCAACUUCUGAAUAGAAAUUAGCAAGGAAUAGGAAAUGUUUCAAAACUGAAAAUAGCCAUGCAUGUAAAUUGAGGAUUGUUCUUACAGACUGCUACCUCCAAUGGUCUGAAAAAUAUCUUUAUUCUUUCCA